rnacentral:rRNA from 1 species
CCUACGGGUGGCUGCAGUGGGGAAUAUUGGACAAUGGGCGAAAGCCUGAUCCAGCCAUGCUGCGUGUGUGAAGAAGGCCCUCGGGUUGUAAAGCACUUUCAGUGGGGAAGAAAGCCUUGGGGCUAAUACCCUCGAGGAAGGACAUCACCCACAGAAGAAGCACCGGCUAACUCCGUGCCAGCAGCCGCGGUAAUACGGAGGGUGCGAGCGUUAAUCGGAAUUACUGGGCGUAAAGCGCGCGUAGGCGGUCUGAUAAGCCGGUUGUGAAAGCCCCGGGCUCAACCUGGGAACGGCAUCCGGAACUGUCAGGCUAGAGUGCAGGAGAGGAAGGUAGAAUUCCCGGUGUAGCGGUGAAAUGCGUAGAGAUCGGGAGGAAUACCAGUGGCGAAGGCGGCCUUCUGGACUGACACUGACGCUGAGGUGCGAAAGCGUGGGUAGCAAACAGGAUUAGAUACCCGAGUAGU